rnacentral:lncRNA from 1 species
AGUGUCGCUAGUUGACCGUUCGCCGAACCGAGUCGAAACGCAUGCGCGUUGCGUGAAAAGUGUUCGUUUCGUCGUGCGUCACAGAGAAGAAAAAGGGAGGAGAUUACUUUCCGUGUACAACCCGGUGUAUAUACCCAACGAAUCCAACGUUUGUUUGAGACAAAGUCAGGGUUAAAGCGAGGCUGAGUCUGUGGAAGCAGGGCGUAGCGAGGUUGGCGAAGCCAAGACAGCGAGCGAGCGAGCGAGGGUAUGGGGUGAGCGGAGGAGAGAAAGACGAGGCGAGGCGACGUGAGGCGAGGCGAAGCGAGGUGAGACGAGGGGUGGGGAGAGAAACGGCACAGGAUACGUUCGUUCGGUACGAACGAACGGUACGGAACGGAACGGAACGGAACGGAACGGAACUGUGCACCGUGCGACUUGUGUGUGUUGUGUGUGUGUUGUGUGUUUGUGUGUAUACGCCGAAGGAGAGAAGUGAAGUGAAGUGAAGAGGAGAGGAGAGAGAAAGACAGAGAGAGAGAGAGCCAGGUCGAGAUAUGCCCUGCCUACGGGUGCAACGACCCCGGUGACCUUUGUCCGGUCCGUGCUCCGGCCUGGCCCCGCUCGAUUCCACCGUCUCCUACCUCCAGGAGGGACGACGAUGCGCAUCAACCUACCACCGGCCAAUCUUCUUCCCGCUCGCCUUUCUAACCUGUGCCCGGUGUCGGCGAGAAUCGGCGAUCGCCAGCAACGGGCUGCUCGAGCCUCUCGCGCCUUGCCAAAGGAUUUGCACGAUGAAAUUUUCGUUAACCGAUUGACGGGGCCAGGAUGGGGGCUCCUUGCGAGGAGAGGAGUAGCAGUCGAGAAUUGACGCCUCUCUCUCUCUCUCUCUCUCUCUUUAUGCAGAAUUAUAUAUAGUGGAAUAUAUGUUAUUAUUGGAGGUGGAGAAUAAAAUGUAGGUUAGGAAGCGAUCGAAAGUGAAUUUCUCGACAAAAAUUUAGGAAUAAUUGUGAUGGAUUAUUUGAAGUAAUUGGAAUUAUUGUUCUCGAGACAUAGGAAUUUCGAUUGUUUGAAAUAAUUGAAAUUAAGAAAUAGUAAUCGAGAUUUAAGUUGUAUAGGUUAGGUAAUAAUCGAAAGUAAGAAUUACGAUGCUCUCGUAAGUAAAAGGUGGAUUGUUCGAAGUAAUUGAAAUUAAGAAGUAGUUUUCGAAAUUUGGAAAUAAGUUUGCAAUAAUAAUAAUAGUAUAAUAAUUUGAUAGUUCUCGAAACAUGGUUGUAAUUAUAAAAGAGCGUGGAUUGUUCGAAGUAAUUAAAAUUAAAAAGUAGUUUAGACUUGGGUUGUAUAGGUUAGGAAAUGAUUGAAAAUAAGAAAUAAAACUUAGGAAUAAGUUUGCAAUUAAAAUUAAGAAAUAGCUUUCUAGAAACUUUGGAUUUUGAAAUUAAUUGAAUUUGAUAUAAUAAUAAAUAAAAAUAAGUUUGCAAUCGAAUAUAAUAAGAACUUGAAUUAUUCGAGGUAAUUGAAAUUAAAAAGUAGUUAUCGAUGCUCUCCAAUAUGUGAUAGAACAAUAGAAAAUUGGGGAGAAAUUUUUAAAAAAAAUUACCGAUCGUCAAAUUGCACUUCAAAUCAUAUUUCGAUAUCCAACUUCAAUUCUUCCUUUCUCCAAUGGAAAACUAGCUCAACGAUCCGUACAAUGGAAUUCGUAAUGAGAUAAAAAAGAUGAAGAUUCCGCUCCCCGCUAUUUUAAAUGCUCGUCCUCUACCCCCCCCCCCCUCCCCUGGAAGUACGAGAGUACGCGGUUUGAAUAUAAAUUCCUUCCAAUUAACCAAUUUUUCACGGAGAAUAUGUUGUUACCGAGUGUAUAUAGCUGUAGAUUUAGAUACACGGAAACGGGAUUUUCUUGUUGUUAUUAAUGGGCCGCGCCGUUCGGAAACUUGGUCGAUUGAACUCGAUUAAACUCGGCAACUUUCGGAUUCGCGCGCACUCGGAAGAAUCAAAGAUGACGUACAAUGGGCCAUUACGGCCGAAAGCCGAAACCUCAUAUCCAUUGUAUCCAUCGACUUGAAACAAGAAUUUCUCUCCCCUCUCUCCGCCCGUGUUAUUUGAACGAAGAGUUAAAAAUAAUGGACCAUUAUAUUAUCCUACGAAGCUACCUCUUGUCCAUUGUGCAACUCUCUGUACACAAAGAAGAGCGGAGGAAAAAUCUACUCUUAUUCGAGGUUAAAAAACGACGUUUCAACGAGCCACUCUAUAUUUAGAAGAUGGAUCGCGAGCCGUUGGUUGAAGGUUGUCGGAUCUAGGAUCUAGUUCUCACGCGGGACGUGAAGGAGGAAAAUAAUCGUCGCGAUGGCGAGGUUUUACCCGUGAAAGUGUAUCCCAUCCCCAGUGGAGGGGAAGGACGGGUCAUCUUUCGAGGAUCCUCCAUCGAUUUUUUCGGUUAUACGUCGAAGAUGAUUCUUCGUAUUUAUAUAUAUAGAACUCGAGUUUGUGAAGCAAAGGAGGAUAGUUUGAUUAAUUGUUCGCUACGCGGCGCUGUUCGAGCGCUGUCUUCGCCUAUUUCGUCCAAUUCUGGAUGGAGCUUGGACGACUUUUAACCACCGUUCUUAUCGAUCUUCUCGACAAAACUCUUGUUCGCAAUUUUUUUUUAAUCCCUCGCCUCGGAGAUUUCGGAAUUUUCGAGAAUUCUCGUUGAUUCUGCAUCGACUUCUGCAAGAUAUGGGAAAUCUGCGCGAUCAAGAGAAAGGGAGGAAAAUCGCGUUUUAAGCGUUUAAGCGUUUUCGCGUUUGUAAUCGUUUCGGAUAAAAUGGUGGAAUCAUCGCUCUCUUCCUCCGUUUCUUGUUAUUCGAUGAAUGAGAAGAAAGUAGAUUUCACGUAGAUUUUUUUUUUUUUUUUUUUGAGAAAUUAUAUAGAAGUUUAGUGAAAUGAUAUCUCGAAAGAAGAUUUUCACGCCAAAUUUUUAUUUCGUUCGCGACAGAUAAAUUCCAUAGACAGAACUAAAUUAUAUUCUAAAAUUUCGUCGAUAAUAAUAACGUUAAACAAAAUGGCGGAUUAAUCUUUUCCCUCGUCGCUUACAGGACGAAAGUAGAUUUAUGGAUUUUGAGAAAUUAUAUUAUUUGUUAAAAAGAAAGUUUAAUUCUGUUGAAAAAAAAGAUUUUUUUAUUUUAUUUUUCGAAUUUAUUUCUCCAUUUAUAUCGCGAUCGAAGUAAAGUAAAAGCAAGAAUUAAUCCGCCAUUUUGUUCAGCGUUAUUUAUAGGUGAAAUUUUAGAAAUUACGACGCACACAUAAAAAAAAGUGUAUUUAUGGAAUUUAUCCGAGCUCCAUCUCUCGUGAAAAUAAAUUUUAAAAAUCUUUCGAACACGUCCUGUUUUUAGCAGGAUUGAAAAAAAGAAUUAAUCCGCCAUUUUGCUCAGCGUUGAUACGCACGGUUGAUAAAUAAACAUGCAUUUACGGAAUUUAUUUAUUCGAGCUCCAUCUCCCGUGAAGAUAAAUCCUGAAAUUUUUACCACUAGACUUUACCUCGAUAUAAUUUCUCGAAAUUUGAAAUCUCCUUUCUUCCAUUCCCCAAAAAUAACCAAACGGAAUCAAUCCUCCAUUUUGUUUCAACCGUUAAUGCCGUUUAACCAUUAUGCGCGCGAAUUAUGCGCACGAAGCGAUAAGUGAAAUACUAAGCGCAUGCAUUUACUAACUCCAUCUAUCGUGAAAACAAAUCUUGAAAAGUCUCGAAAUAUUUCGCACGAAACUUCUGAAAUUUUUCAAUGUAUAAUAAACCAUAUCGAUUUAAUUACAGUUACUCGUGAAAUGUUAGAAAUUAUAUAGUAGAUCACAUCAGUAAUCGUUCAGAAUUAGAGCGAAUACGAUUCGACGUUGAGCAUUGACUCGAUCUGUGGAUUCGUAGGAGCCGAUGUGCCAAGAAUUCUUCGGGAAAGAAGUGCGGAUAGAUGGAGCCGCGCACGAUACAGGAGAGCGAAGGAUCGUAGGAGCGGAAGGGAAGAAGGUAGAAAAUUAUAUCACACGGCAUCUCUCGGCUCUCUUCUCUACGUAACGCGCAUACGUAAUGAGGAAACGAACGACCGGCCGAACGAGAGCGCGCGCAUGCCGCGCUUCCCUUUCCACUCCUCCUUCCCCCUCCCCGCCCCUUACCUAUCCUUCGCUCCUAGGCCGCGUCACCAUUCGUUUUCAUCCUCGCGGGCCGUGAAACGAACGCUGCGAAGCGAGCGCGAUCGUUUCCUCCCGUUAACGAGAGAGUCGGCCGUGGGAUCUCGGGAAAAAGAUUUUCGAGAAAAAUUCCCUUGCAUAUGUAUAUGGCGUAUAUGUGGUGCAAGUAGUUUUUUUAAUUUGUUCGAUUGGAAUUUUGAGAAAAAUUAAUUUAAUCCUCGAUGAUUUUUUUUUUCUUCGCGGAAAAGAUUUCUCGAGAAUUUUGAAACGUGAAAUUUAUAAAAUUAUAAAUUUCAAUCUUUUCUAUAAUUCAAGAUAGAAUUUUGGAUUUUAAGAUGUUAAGAUGUAAAUUUGAGAAAAAAUUUAUCGAUUCAAUAUUAUCAAUUUCAAUCUUCUCUAAUUUCCCUUUAUCGAAACGAGUGGAACUCAAAAUUCUUCUCUACGACAAUAUUCGUGGAUGGAAUUUUGUCUAAAAAAUACGAAAGUUUCAAUCCUGUUUAAUUUUUCUGAAUUUAAAAAAAAAAACUUCUCUAAUCUUUCUCUAAUAAUCUCUUAACAUUUCAUCGAAAUAAGAAAUAAGCAAGAAUAUAGAAAAUAAUAUAUUGUUUAUUACAUAAUUAUAUUAUCACAUAAAUUAGGCGAGCAAGAAUAUAGAAAGAAAAGAAGAACUGGAAAUUCACAACACUUGUUUGUUACUUUUGCCGAGGAAAAAAAGAUAAACAAAUAAAUCAUCAUUGCGAAGCAAAUUAAAUAUUAAGAUAAAAGGCGAAUGUACAAUAUAUAUAUAUACUCGCGGUUUCUUGGCGCGGUUUCGUAAUCUCUCGAACCGUCUUUCAAAUAAAAAUAUAUCUCGCUCGACGCGAAAGAUUAUUACGCUUAAUAGCUCUUUUUUUUGCCGGCUCGGUCUCGCUUAGAAAAAGGAAAAACCUAUAUAUAUAUAUAUAUAUAUAUAUAUAUAUAUAUAUAUAUAUAUAAAAGGCCAUGUUCUCGAUAUACCCGUUGGCCGUGAAGUUUUUCACCAUGUCACGUAUAUCAUAGAUCAACAACGACCAACUUUAUUCCACGUAAUUCCGCGACAAAAACUGCGUUUAUGCGCAGGUUUUUUUCUCCCCUCCCCUCCCUCCUUACCCACGUCUUGCGAAGAUAUCUAUGUCUGGCGACAAUUUUUUCCAACGAGUUUAUCGUUUAAAACGUUGCAACGUUGCAAAUCUUCAGGGAAGAAAAAAAAAAAAAAAAGAAAAA